UUGAGCCGAAUACCGAGCAAUUGGUACGUUCGGUUCUCUGGGGAGUUGGGGAAGUAAUUCCCCCGCUUACCCGAC
rnacentral:ncRNA from 1 species